AGAAGUCAUGUUGCCCCUGUGUGAACCCGCUCUUAUGGCUUGAGUGUUUGUGUGUGGGGGGAUGCCGACGAUGCCCCUAUGUCCGGAGUCAGUUUAAAGAUCCUGGGCACUGCUAACUUGGAUGAGCUGCACAUGUGCAAUCAAUUCACGCAACCUAACAGGGUGUGCUCGUGUGGGGUCGGUAGUGUGAGUGUGUGGAUUGUUUGUUGCCACAUUUGCACAUCUUUGGUGACUCCCAGCCACCAUUUACAUCGCUGUGGUGCAUCAGGAACCCCCUCCCCUAUGCACAGUGACUGGCCAUGGACAGCUUCCAUGUUGGUACACCCAGACCAGCAGGUGUACGCCCUGGAGCUAUGCCUCAUAGUUUAAACAACUAUAGAUAGUAUGUGCUCUCUAUCUAUUUAUCUUUAACCCCUACUAACUUGAUUGAAAGCCCCUCUGGCUGAUGCCAUUAUUAUUUAACAAACUGGUUUAUGCAUACAUUUCUCUGUUGAAGUCGUGAGGGCGAAACGCAUCAGGGCGUGAUGUGUGCGUGUCACUACCAGGUAGCAACAGCCAGAUAGUAUCAAUGCAGUGGAUGACAGACGGCAUUCCAUACAGAUUGGUGAUAACACACAGUUUGUUUUUUCAACAAAAUGCCUGUUAUAAUUUAUGUUGUGCAAGUGUGUUUUUUAAGGGGGUGGUUGUCUUGAAUAAACUUUUAAAACUGUAUCACGCUAUCUGGAGUAUUUUUUUACAUGACUAAACCAUCCUAGGUGAUGAGCUGUUUGAAAUAACCGGACCAAAACGGGAGACACCUGGCGUGUUCAAGGCUUUUGAAUUACAUCCCUUUGAUCUAAUCCUGGACCCUGCCGUUAGUCCUAACAUCCCGUUACCCGCACCUGCUACGGCCAGUUGGAUCUGGCUUCCACUGGUCUAAGCGCAUCGCCGCACCGGCCCACUCCGCUGGGACUCACUGGCUAACAUUUAGGCAAUUAAUUGCCCUGGCUCAUUUUCUUAUACGGAAUUGACCAUCUUAUUCAAAAAUAAUGAAUUGCAAGCCCUGACGAAGCACACCUGUGCGAAACUAGUCGGCAGUCUGCAUUUAAGACAUUUUCUCUUCAUUUUCUUUAUUAUGUAUUAUGGUCAUAUUUUGUAAUUUAUUUUAUA